rnacentral:rRNA from 1 species
AUUGAACGCUGGCGGCAGGCCUAACACAUGCAAGUCGAGCGGAUGAAGGGAGCUUGCUCCUGGAUUCAGCGGCGGACGGGUGAGUAAUGCCUAGGAAUCUGCCUGGUAGUGGGGGAUAACGUCCGGAAACGGGCGCUAAUACCGCAUACGUCCUGCGGGAGAAAGUGGGGGAUCUUCGGACCUCACGCUCUCAGAUGAGCCUAGGUCGGAUUAGCUAGUUGGUGGGGUAAAGGCCUACCAAGGCGACGAUCCGUAACUGGUCGGAGAGGAUGAUCAGUCACACUGGAACGGGGCCACGGUCCAGACUCCUACGGGAGGCAGCAGUGGGGAAUAUUGGACAAUGGGCGAAAGCCUGAUCCAGCCAUGCCGCGUGUGUGAAGAAGGUCUUCGGAGUGUAAAGCACUUUAAGUUGGGAGGAAGGGCAGUAAGUUAAUACCUUGCUGUUUUGACGUUACCAACAGAAUAAGCACCGGCUAACUUCGUG